AUAGUAAGGAGCCUAAGCUGCGAGACGGAUGGCUCGGCUUGGACUGCGAUGAAGACGUGGCAAGCUGCGAUAAGCCUGGGGGAGCUGCACGCAAGCCUUGAUCCCAGGAUUUCUGAGCAAACGCGGGGAAUUGAAACAUCUUAGUACCCGCAGGAAAAGAAAACAAAAUGUGAUUCCCUUAGUAGCAGCGAGCGAAAAGGGAAGAAGGCAAACCGAAUCUCUUUUCGAAAGAAAAGAGAGAUGUGGCUGGUCGGAUUACUCCUAAGGCACCUAGCCGAAGUUCCCUGGAAAGGGACGCCAUAGAAGGUGAUAGCCCUGUAGGCAAAAGUGCUAUGGAGAAUGUCCGAAUCCGAGAGUAGUACCUUCUGGAUUGAAGGUACGAAGAUGCCAGAAUCAACUGGCAACCCUAAAUAUACCUCCAGUCCGAUAGCGAACAAGUAUCGCGAGAGAACGUUGAAAAGCACCUUGGGAAAAGGUGUGAAAUAGAUCUGAAACUACAUGGGGACAGUUU
rnacentral:rRNA from 1 species